UCUGAGAUGGCUCCAGGGAAAGGAAGAGGGAUAGAAGCCCAGGCUCCCUACGUACCUACUUGGCCUUCUCUGACACACCCCACUGAGAAUUGUUGACUAGAAGCCAGAGACAGCUGUCUUCCUGUGAUGCCCUAUGGUGACGCCCACAGGAACUUUCUCCCUUUGGUAUUCAGCCCGCUAAAAGGUGUGAAAGGAUAUGCAUCAUUUAGCAGCCCUGACAUCUAGGAUUUGACUGAAGAAUUUUAUGCACAGAAACAUAUGGAUCCUGAAAGAAACACUUGGAUCCAGCUGAUGCUUUGGUAGUUUUAGCCAAAUGUAGCACCGGACGAUCCCACCCACAUGGUUCUCCCGGUACCUGGAAUCCGAAGGAAAAGCUUGCCGCCGAGGAGCUAGUAGCAGAGAUGAAAUCCACGCCACGCCGCUGUCCUCCAUGACGCCCCAUCUGAAGGCUGGCUCCUCUCUUUUG